CCUGAUUUUGCUGGGCUUUUCCUUCUCCUGCGUAAUACUCUAUUUUCCUUGCUUGUGCCUGAGCGUGGUGGUCCUGUCCGGCCGUGGACUGAAGGCACGACUCAAAGCACGACUUGGCCCGUUGUGGCGCUCAGCAGCUCCUGGUUGGAAACGAGAAGGUUGAAGAGUGUCUCGCGCUUUGAGGCUGUUGGAAGGGCUGCUGUUUCCUUGGAGGGAAGUGAAAGAGAGUUUGGAUGCCACCACAAGCCAACAUGGAACUGAGAUCAAACAUUCCAUGCAGAAGUGCCACGGCAGGACUUGGAUGACGCAGCAGGCCAAGAAUGUUGGAAAACCCCACCGUGGCUUGUCGUGUCAUGUCAUGCAAACCUUCUGUCUCUGCACAGGAGAGUCCCUGCAGUGCCCACAGGAGCCCUGGCAAUGAGAGCCCUUUCUUGCCUUCGUUCCCAAAUGUAUGCUAGCUGUACCUAGAAUCUGUCGGCCCGGUGCAACCAGAGUCCUUGGUAUGGCCAGGGGGUCUUGUCACCAUCAUCUGUGAAGUUGGAGAGGAGGAUGGCUGGAACCUAGCUGAGUCUGAGGAAGGAAAGGCUCGUUCACGGAUUGUUAUGGAGGUCCAGACAAGGUGACCUCCCACUGGUUGGAUGCUGUGCAAACCGAAGAAUGGACUAGAUCGGCCUUUGGCCUCCCUGCUCACCUGCCCAUGUUUUCCCAUGGCUGCUUCUGGCUUCUUCCAUACCACGGAAAGCCUGUGGUGAAAGGAAGUGGGGACUAGCUGCAGGAUGGCAGCUUCCGUACACGGCUUCGAGAGUGCCAUCACUCUGCCGCAUUUGCAGGAUAUAAGGUGGAGUACAGAUGGUGACUCUUUCCACUCUUAACCUUCCCGUGUUUUCUGGUUGCAGCAAAUCUGCUGAGGAAAAAAGGAAGGACCUGGCUGUUCGAGGAACCCUGCAUCCGGAGCACCCUUUGAUACAGGGAAAUCAUGUAACUCACAUUCCUCAUGGCACAGCCAUGAAUGUAGUCUCUCGCUAUCCCAAUAAAGUUCUCUGGAAUCCAA